rnacentral:siRNA from 1 species
UCACUUUCACUGCAUUAAUC